AACGUGGGAGACAAACGUUAUCCGGAGUUACUGGGCGUAAAGGGCGUGUAGGUGGUUUCGUAAGUCUGGCGUGAAAUUUUUCGGCUUAACCGGGAAAGGUCGUCGGAUACUGCGGAGCUAGAGGACGGUAGAGGCGUGUGGAAUUCCGGGGUGUAGUGGUGAAAUGCGUAGAGAUCCGGAGGAACACCAGUGGCGAAGGCGACACGCUGGGCCGUACCUGACACUGAUGCGCGACAGCAUGGGGAGCAACAGG
rnacentral:rRNA from 1 species